rnacentral:rRNA from 1 species
GGGGAAUAUUGGACAAUGGGGGGAACCCUGAUCCAGCCAUGCCGCGUGUGUGAAGAAGGCCUUAUGGUUGUAAAGCACUUUAAGCGGGGAGGAGGCUCCCGUAGCUAAUAUCUCCGGAGAGUGGACGUUACUCGCAGAAUAAGCACCGGCUAACUCUGUGCCAGCAGCCGCGGUAAUACAGAGGGUGCGAGCGUUAAUCGGAUUUACUGGGCGUAAAGCGUACGUAGGCGGCUUUUUAAGUCGGAUGUGAAAUCCCUGAGCUUAACUUAGGAAUUGCAUUCGAUACUGGGAAGCUAGAGUAUGGGAGAGGAUGGUAGAAUUCCAGGUGUAGCGGUGAAAUGCGUAGAGAUCUGGAGGAAUACCGAUGGCGAAGGCAGCCAUCUGGCCUAAUACUGACGCUGAGGUACGAAAGCAUGGGGAGCAAAC